AUUGAACGCUGGCGGCAUGCCUUACACAUGCAAGUCGAACGGCAGCACGGGAGCAAUCCUGGUGGCGAGUGGCGAACGGGUGAGUAAUAUAUCGGAACGUGCCCAGUCGUGGGGAUAACGUAGCGAAAGCUACGCUAAUACCGCAUACGAUCUACGGAUGAAAGCGGGGGAUCGCAAGACCUCGCGCGAUUGGAGCGGCCGAUAUCAGAUUAGGUAGUUGGUGAGGUAAAGGCUCACCAAGCCGACGAUCUGUAGCUGGUCUGAGAGGACGACCAGCCACACUGGGACUGAGACACGGCCCAGACUCCUACGGGAGGCAGCAGUGGGGAAUUUUGGACAAUGGGCGCAAGCCUGAUCCAGCAAUGCCGCGUGAGUGAUGAAGG
rnacentral:rRNA from 1 species